UAACAUCUUGCGUCGCAAUCGAAUCCACGAAAUAACACCAAUUCAAAGCAAUCGGCGGCCAACUACCGAAUCAUUCUGAUAAACUUGAAUUAAAAGAUUUUCACUAUUUGUCGCUUCAUGCCAGCUAUUUGCGACCUUUUUGUGAGUGUUUCUAUGAUUGAGUGACGGACGCGUCAGAUUCUCGCCGACGAAUAAAUGAACCCCAGCCAUGCUGUAGCCUACUGGCAAUUACUCAACCACACGUAGGGUCCGUGCUAUCGUUCUUAUUCACAACAAAUGAGCCCUGCACGCCUCGGUCUCUCAUAUCACCAGGGUGGGGUCGGCCGUAGGGUCCGAAUUUCGUGCCAUGAAUGCGUCACACCUGUAGCUGACCUCUAUCAUGUCUCCAAACAACAAAUACCCCACACAAAAAGUCGAUGAUGUAACGACCUUGAAAGACUACACACCAGGACCUAGGUACCUUAAGGCAAACCUGUAUAAUGUGACCACCACGGAAGACAAGACACAAGAACCUGUUAAGAGACCUGCAUAAUAUGACCACCUCAUGAGAAAACACCAGAACCUGUAGCCCGAGCUACAUAAUGUGACCCUUAAUUAAAAGAAAACACAAACCUGUGACCGUCCCACAACACACCAAAAGACACAAUUUUGAACAGAAGAUGAGUAAAGACUGCCAACAUCCCGGAAGGCGAAGACCUGUGUAUUGAUACGUGACAUUCAAGAUCUUUUAGAACAUUGGUAGUCGACCUGUAUAACGUGACCCUUGUUCGAAAAUAUGUAAUAAAAAUAAUAAUUUUAAAUCAG